rnacentral:rRNA from 1 species
GUAGGGAAUAUUGCGCAAUGGACGAAAGUCUGACGCAGCGACGCCGCGUGAGUGAUGAAGGCCUUAGGGUCGUAAAGCUCUGUUGAAUGGGAAGAAAAAAAUGACGGUACCAUUCGAGGAAGGACCGGCUAACUUCGUGCCAGCAGCCGCGGUAAUACGAGGGGUCCUAGCGUUGUUCGGAAUCAUUGGGCGUAAAGGGUGUGUAGGUGGCCAUGUAAGUCAGGUGUGAAAGCCCCGGGCUCAACCCGGGAAGUGCACUUGAUACUGCGUGGCUUGAGUACCGAAGAGGGUAUUGGAAUUCCAGGUGUAGUGGUGAAAUACGUAGAUAUCUGGAGGAACACCGGUGGCGAAGGCGGCUACCUGGUCGAGUACUGACACUGAGACACGAAAGCAUGGGGAUCAAACAGGAUUAGAAACCCCAGUAGUCC